rnacentral:lncRNA from 1 species
AGCCCUGGCUGGGGUAAAUGGGCCCUGAGGGGGCCAAUGGGGUCCUGGAAGGAUAAAUGGGGGCCCUGAGGGGUUCAGUGGGGUCCUGAAAGGAUGAAUGGGGGUAAAUCAGGGUCCUGGCAGGGGAAAUCAGAGCCCAGAGGGGUCAAUGGGCUCCUGGCAGUUAAAUGGAGCCCUGGAGGAUGGAUCCGGGCCUCAAGGAAUUAAACCCAACCUGGAAAAGGGUCCCUGAGGUCCUUGCAGGGCCAGUUCUGCCCCUCGGGGGAGGAUCAGGGUGUGGGUCCCUCCCUCCUCCAAGAGCCUCAAUGCCCUCAGAGCUCUGGCCACAGCUUCUGGAUGGAGACAGGGAUGGAGCACAAGGUGUCCCCCCCUGCCCUCCCCCCUGAGGUGGACACAGCGGUGGCCGCGCGGCGCAGGGCCCUGGUGGCCCUGGUGGCCUUGGCCGAGGCCUUGGGGACACCGGACAGUGUCCCCGCUGCGCUGGCCGAGGCCGAGGCUGCCCUGGGCCAGGCCCAGGAGGCUCAGAGGGGGCUGGAGAGGGCCCAGGAGGCUGCGGUGGCCCCGGCGGUGGCCCUGGGAACCCUGGGGGACGAGGACGAGCAGUGGCUGCGGCAGCUCGGGGCCGUGGCCAAGGCAGCGGCGGCGGCGCUGGAGCGCGAGGAGAGACGGGCACGGCGGUGCCAGCGCUGGCUGCGGGCUGGGCACGGGCUGGCCGUGGGGCUGAUGGUGCUGUGUGGGGCCGUGUUGUCCCUGGACUCGGCCCGCGCCGCCCUGGGGGUGAGCGAGGACAGCCACCUGCUGCUGGCCCUGGCCGCGGUGGCCGUGUCCUGCGAGGUGGCCUGGCGGGGUCUGGGGACAUCACGGCGUCACCUGGCCACCGCCGCGAGCCACCAGCGGGACAUGGCCCUGCGCCUGCGGGACCGUGCCCGGCGGGUGGCAGCCGCCAGGGCCAGCGCCGAGGCCGCCGCAGCCACCAACAAGGCCACUGCAGAUGUGCUGGGGCGGCUGGAGGAGGUGACACAGGCACUGGGGACGUUGGUGACGGCUGUCACCCAGGACAGGGAGGUGACACCUUGGGGGACACAGGGACAGGGCUUCCCCAGAGCUGCCCGGGCACUUGGGGACAUCCUAGUGGGCUUGGGGACAUUUCGUGAGGGGCACGAGGAGGUGACGCCGAGGCUGGAGGCGGCCCAGAGAGCGCUGGUGGGGCAGGGAUAG